rnacentral:rRNA from 1 species
CCCUGGUAGUCCACGCAGUAAACGAUGAUUACUCGCUGUUUGCGAUACACAGUAAGCGGCUUAGCGAAAGCGUUAAGUAAUCCACCUGGGGAGUACGUUCGCAAGAAUGAAACUCAAAGGAAUUGACGGGGGCCCGCACAAGCGGAGGAACAUGUGGUUUAAUUCGAUGAUACGCGAGGAACCUUACCCGGGCUUGAAAUGCAUUUGACCGACUCAGAGACGAGUCUUCCCUUCGGGGCAAAUGUGUAGGUGCUGCAUGGUUGUCGUCAGCUCGUGCCGUGAGGUGUCGGCUUAAGUGCCAUAACGAGCGCAACCCUCAUCAUUAGUUACUAACAGGUUAAGCUGAGGACUCUAGUGAGACUGCCAUCGUAAGAUGCGAGGAAGGUGGGGAUGACGUCAAAUCAGCACGGCCCUUAUGUCCGGGGCGACACACGUGUUACAAUGGAUGGUACAACAGGCAGCUACUUGGCGACAAGAUGCUAAUCCCGAAAACCAUUCUCAGUUCGGAUCGAAGUCUGCAACUCGAGGGAAGUGAAGCUGAUUCUUUCCCGAGCGCGGAGCACA